AGAAGGAAGCACAGUACCUGCAGACAGCCUUUGGAUUCAGGAUGCAAUAAAUUUCACAUCUAGAAAUAUUGCUCUGACCCAUAUACCGGAUGACAUGAGAAGAUGACACAUUUCAGUGUCACCUAGAACAGAAGAUUCUUGGAAAAGUGUUUCUUGCAACUACUCCUCAGCAUUGACACUUGCACUUCCAUUGACUCCCUACAUGGCUUCUUUAAUCUAGGAGGUAAGAGAUCAUAUGGAAAAAGCUAAAUGUAAGCCUCAGAAACUAACCCUCUUCCCACAAAGAUAGUAAA